UGGGGAAUAUUGCACAAUGGGGAAGACCCUGAUGCAGCGACGCCGCGUGAAGGAAGAAGUAUCUCGGUAUGUAAACUUCUAUCAGCAGGGAAGAAAAUGACGGUACCUGACUAAGAAGCCCCGGCUAACUACGUGCCAGCAGCCGCGGUAAUACGUAGGGGCAAGCGUUAUCCGGAUUUACUGGGUGUAAAGGGAGCGUAGACGGAAUGGCAAGUCUGAUGUGAAAGGCAGGGGCUCAACCCUGACUGCAUUGGAAACUGUCAGUCUUGAGUACCGGAGGGGUAAGCGGAAUUCCUAGUGUAGCGGUGAAAUGCGUAGAUAUUAGGAGGAACACCAGUGGCGAAGGCGGCUUACUGGACGGUAACUGACGUUGAGGCUCGAAAGCGUGGGGAGCAAACAGGAUUAGAUACCC
rnacentral:rRNA from 1 species